rnacentral:rRNA from 1 species
UUGGAGGGCAAGUCUGGUGCCAGCAGCCGCGGUAAUUCCAGCUCCAAUAGCGUAUAUUAAAGUUGUUGUGGUUAAAAAGCUCGUAGUUGAACCUUGGGCCUGGCCGUCCGGUCCGCCUCACCGCGUGUACUGGCUCGGCCGGGCCUUUCCCUCUGUGGAACCCCAUGCCCUUCACUGGGCGUGGCGGGGAAACAGGACUUUUACUGUGAAAAAAUUAGAGUGCUCCAGGCAGGCCUAUGSUMGKAUWSAUKAGCAUGGAAUAAUAGAAUAGGACGUGUGGUUCUAUUUUGUUGGUUUCUAGGACCGCCGUAAUGAUUAAUAGGGACAGUCGGGGGCAUCAGUAUUCAAUUGUCAGAGGUGAAAUUCUUGGAUUUAUUGAAGACUAACUACUGCGAAAGCAUUUGCCAAGGAUGUUUUCRUUAAUCAGGAACGAAAGUUAGGGGAUCGAAGACGAUCAGAUACCGUCGUAGUCUUAACCAURRARUAUGCCGACUAGGGAUCGGACGGUGUUAUUUUUUGWCCMRKRSGGCGCCUUACGGGAAAC